UACGAAGGGUGCAAGCGUUAAUCGGAAUUACUGGGCGUAAAGGGUGCGUAGGCGGUUGUUUAAGUCUGUCGUGAGAUCCCCGGGCUCAACCUGGGAAUGGCGAUGGAUACUGGGCAGCUAGAGUGUGUCAGAGGAUGGUGGAAUUCCCGGUGUAGCGGUGAAAUGCGUAGAGAUCGGGAGGAACAUCAGUGGCGAAGGCGGCCAUCUGGGACAACACUGACGCUGAAGCGCGAAAGCGUGGGGAGCAAACAGG
rnacentral:rRNA from 1 species